UCUCUCGCAGCUUAGUGGUCAGAGCAUUGGCGCGUUAAGCCAAAGGUCCCGGGUUCGAUUCCCGGUGAGGGUG
rnacentral:tRNA from 2 species